rnacentral:rRNA from 1 species
GACGAACGCUGGCGGCGUGCUUAACACAUGCAAGUCGAACGGAAAGGCCCCUUUGGGGGUACUCGAGUGGCGAACGGGUGAGUAACACGUGAGUAACCUGCCCUUGACUUCGGGAUAACUUCAGGCAACUGGGGCUAAUACCGGAUAGGAAUCCUUGCUGCAUGGUGGGGGUUGGAAAGCUUCGGCGGUUUUGGAUGGACUCGCGGCUUAUCAGCUUGUUGGUGGGGUAGUGGCUUACCAAGGCUUUGACGGGUAGCCGGCCUGAGAGGGCGACCGGCCACAUUGGGACUGAGAUACGGCCCAGACUCCUACGGGAGGCAGCAGUGGGGAAGAUUGCACAAUGGGCGGAAGCCUGAUGCAGCAACGCCGCGUGCGGGAUGACGGCCUUCGGGUUGUAAACCGCUUUCAGCAGGGGCGAAGCUUGUGGUGACGGUACCUGCAGAAGAAGCACCGGCUAACUACGUG